ensembl:lncRNA
AUGCAGGAGACCUGGGUUUGAUCUCUGGGUCAGGAAGAUCGCCUGGAGAAGGGAAUGACAACCCACUCUGGUAUUCUUGCCUCGAGAAUUCCAUGAACAGAGGAGCCUGGUGGGCUACAGUCCACUGGGUCACAAAGAGUUGAACACGACUGAGUGACUAACACUUGCUGAAUGUAGGAGGCUCAGUGAGAGGUAACUUGGAGAAGAUAGGAGGGAAGAGAGUUCUAGGCAGAGGGAGUAAUGGGGUGAGUGGGACCCAGUUAGUAAUGAACUAUGUGAAGGUAUUUAUCCUAAGAGCAGUAGGAAGGGUUCUAUGCCAGGCUGGGGUCUUGGUCACUUGUGCAUCCCCAAAAGCAAAAAACGGACAGAGAAGGACCAGAGGAAGCUGGGAGACUAGUGAGGAAGGGCAAGGGAAAGGCAUGGCUGGUUGGGGUAGGGGCUGUGGCCAUGGAGAGAUCCUGGAGGUGAGGCUCGUCAAUGUGGUGAAGGCUGGGUCCUGGGCAGUGGGGGGAGAGGGAACAAGGACUCCUGGGUUCCCGCCUCUUCCGCUGGGAUGCAUGUAUGUGUGGGGAGCAGGGUGGUGGCCACGGAAAGAUGAGCUUGUUUCCUUGGAUGUGUAAGCUCCCUGAAGCAGGGAUGGGCCCUCACACUCCAUGUCUCUCCCAUGGGCCUUUAUGCCCAAGAGGAUUUCAGAAGACUUGUUCCUGGUUAAGGUGAGAAAAUUACCCCUGUUCCCCCAUCGGUCAGCAGACUUGACCAUGGACACACCCCCUUGGACUCCAAGGCUCUCUGCGUUGGGGGGUCGACCCUGUGCUCAUCUCUUGGAGGAGGCCCAGCCCCUCCUGGGGGCUCCCCGCUGGGACUGGUGUGCCGAACCUCCCUGUUCUUAACAGGACUGACUGGGGUGGGUCUCCCACCGCCUCACUGAGGCAGGCCCGGGUUUGGCCGCCCUCCCGGCUGUGUUGUAUCCAGUGGGAAACAUUUAGAAUAUGUGAACGUAAGUGGCUGCUGGAGAGAAAUCUACAAUUUCUCCUAUUAUUGGGAAAGAGCUAGGCUACCAUAGGCUACCAGAUGUUCUAUGUCAUAUAAUGGUAUGUUUUAUGGCAAAUGAAAAUAUAUAUAAAAUCUGUACCCAGAGAGCUCCCUACUUGCUAAAAGGGGGCUAGAUCCUUCUUUUUAUUCUUACCCUUUUCAGAUUUUUAGGCAAGAAUUCCCUUUCGGGCAAUGAACUUAUCUGCCAAGUUGGGGCCCAGGGGGAACCCUUAUGGGGGACUCGUAAACCCCGUCUUUUGAGGAAAUCUUGGGGCUGAGGCCACAUUCAGCCCCACGUGUUUACACAAUACUCUCUCUCAGCUCUGAGGGGCCAUUAGAGUUAAUUGGGUGAAUAAUCUGUGUUUAAAAAGUCCCCAAAUACGUAUUUACAUAAUCCACGCUUUGCCCAAGCCUGCUCAAGCCUAUUUGUGGGAUCUGGAGUGGAUCUGGGCUGAGCGUCUUCCUCCCGUGCUUCUAGAGCAGCUUCUCCUGUUGGUGACCAUCCUUCGGUGAGGACGGGGACAGGCAGGCUUCCCUCCUGGCUGAUGGCGUGGUGGGGCCUAUUAGUGUGGGGUCUUCCUGAGCCUUGGCCAAACACGUGUUUUGGAUCACUGUCCUGAGAGAUGCUGUAUGGGGAAAGAGGUUCCAUGGUUCAGUAAGUUUGGGAAGCACUGCAUCUUAUCUCCUCUCUUGGAGAUUCCCUGUGCUCAUUAUUCCACCAGGACUCCAAGAAGUCCUACAGUAGAGAGGUGGAUUUAGCUGUGUCUAAAUCCAGCUUCCUUCAGAUGUUAUCUGAUCUCAGCAUCUCCAUCCCUAACUCUGAUGAAUAGCCCAAAGAACUAGCCUUCUGUAGAAACACAUUGGGAAACAGCAAUCCACCCCCACUCCGUCCUUUUUUUUUUUUUUUUUUUAAAAACCAGGGGGCACUUCGAGUUCUGGCCACCCACCCAGACAUUGUGUGUACUGCCUUUGGUCGAGGCCCUUGUGUGCAGUCAUGUUGGCUGUGCACACACAACCCCCAAGAAUGCUUUUCACAUGACCACAGCCUUGCUGGUUCUUGGAACAGGAAAGACUCCAGGCAUUAGAGGCAGACCCAGGGUGUUGCAUGGAGACACGGCAUUCUCAGUUAGGGAGCCCUUACAGCCUGCCCACUCCUGUAGUUCUGUGCCCCGUUAGUUGCUGGCAUCCUUUCUAUAACAUUGUCUGUAUGGGUCACUCCAGCCACAGGAAUUCUCUGGGCUGGUUUGGGCACCAGGAAGGAUGAAUUCAGAUGCACUCAGGCCAAGCCUGCUUCCAAUAAAAGCUGAGCACUCACCCUCGGGAGUAGCCCUGCUUAUCUGUCUUCAUGAGGUUCUCAGUCUUGGCUGCACAUGAGAAUCACCUGGAGAGAUUAAAAAAAAAAAAAAAUCCUGAUGUUGGGUCAGAACUCUGAUUUGUUAAAUCAGAAUCUGGGUGGGUAAGAAACCUGGCUCAAAUAAAUGGUCAAGCUUCCAGGUGAUUCCAAUGUGGCUCCAUGAGGAGGUGGAGCGCAGCCACACUGGAGCUUUGUCAGGAGAGCUGGCGGGGUAGGAAGGGGAGCAGAAGUUCACGGCGCUACUCCGGGCUCAACCACGACUGCAUGAAGGACCAGACCGCCCACCUUCUCCAGUCCUGCCUGGGCAGCCCUCUGCAGUGUGGCAAGUCCCUGGGUGAGGAAGAAGAAGCGUCCUGCCGUGUUUACCCUAGGGACGCCUUUGUUGGGUGGUCCUGAGAAGGAUGACGGCCAACAUUACCAAGCAGGGUGUCUGCUGUGGGCCAGGUACUGUAAGUUAAGGCAGACAUCACUAAUGAACACUGAGUAUGCAGUCCUCCUCGGUAGAGAGCCACAGCCAGCCAGCCAGGACUCCUCUCUCCAGGCUUGCCUCGGCAGUGAAGCUGUUUGUCAGUUGUGGAGAGCACACCCUCAUGAAUCAACUGAUGUGCCUAUAGGAGGAUCAAGGCCCGGGGAGGCUGACUCGCCCAAGACUUGGGGGGUUGGCCUGGGACCCUCCUCCCACCCCCAGUGCCUUCAGGUGGAUCGCUUCGAGGCGGCACUGAGGCCAGCUCCCAAGAUAACACCGGUCAGUGGCGCCUGGCCAUGAAAAUUAAACACCAUGGUUGCUAAAGAAUAAAUGGGCCAUGCCAUCCCCCAGCCACCGUGGCCUCUGAUGAGAGCUGGACCACUCAGGGUGACUGAGGAUACAGCCUGCAUGACACAGAAGGAAACAAGGGGGCUACCAGCACCCUGAAUCGACUGGUCCAGGCUGCUACCGUCUCCAGGAAGGCCAGACUCAACAACAGACCAGCCAUGGGGCCUCAGGGUUUUGAGGGAUGUGAUGGAGUGAGAGAGGGCAAUUACUGCGCAUCUCUUAUUCCCAUCCCUUCCCUUUCCUUUUUCUCUUCUUUCCUUCUUGCCUUUUUGUCUCUGUCAGGGCUAACUGUAUCUAGGACCAAACACAGUCACCUGACCCAGGUAAACACACCCAUGGAUGGACAGCUCCACAUGCUGGGGGCAGGGAUGGGGCAGAGCUAGGGCUGGCGUGGCUGCCUGGCUGUGAGCAGGCCGCAGACCCGGACCUCCCAGCACAGGGACACGGCGAGCUUCCCUGGCUGGGACAGAGAUGCCUGUGUGCCGUCCGGCCGCUCGUCCCUGUCUCCUGGCUGUCUUGGCUUAGAAGAUUCCAACCUUCCCCACACAGCCUGGCUGUAGGUUGUCUGCUCCCAGAAAGUCUCCCUGAGCACUGUGAGCCCGUGGGUGCAGCUCCCCCUGCCAAGCCCCUGCCCAUACAGUGGCUAAGUCUGUGGGUCACCCAC